UUUAGAAGCCCAGUGCCAAAGCAAAAAGAGCAGCACUUCUCCACUUCUGAGUGUGGUCAGCAGAGAAGCUUGAGAAAGUCACAGACUAGGGAGAGUCGUGCACCUUUCCAGACCUAACAGACAGCAGGUCACAGGAGCAUGGGAAGGAGCUGACAGAUCAGCUCCAGGUAUGACUGUCACAGAGAAAAGAUGCCUACCUUCAGCAUGGUACCAACUAGGCAGACUCCAGAAUAUCCAUGGACAGAAGCACAGACCACUAGAGCUGCGCCCACCGAUGGACAACCAGACCAAAACAACACCCCCAUCUGUCUAUCCACUGGCCCCUGUAUGUGGUGAUACAUCUGGAUCCUUAGUGACUCUGGGAUGCCUGGUCAAAGGCUAUUUCCCUGAGCCAGUGGCCGUGACCUGGAACUCUGGUGCCCUGUCCAAUGGUGUGCACACCUUCCCAGCUGUCCUGCAGUCUGGACUCUACUCCCUCAGCAGCUCAGUGACUGUAUCCUCCAGCACCUGGCCCAGCCAGACUGUCACCUGCAACAUCGUCCACCCGGCCAGCAGCACCAAGGUGGACAAGACCAUUGAACACAGAGGCCCAGGUCCAGUCAAACCCACAUGUCCUACAUGUCCCAAAUGCCCAGUUAUUGAAAUCCCUGGUGGACCAUCCGUCUAUAUCUUCCCCCCAAAGCCCAAGGAUAUACUCAUGAUCUCCCAGAAUGCCAAAGUCACAUGUGUGGUGGUGGACAUGACCGAGGAUGAGGCAGAUGUUCAGUUCAGCUGGUUUGUGGACAACGUAGAAGUACACACAGCUCAGAUGCAGCCCCGUGAGGAGCAGUACAACAGCACCUUCCGGGUGGUCAGUGCCCUCCCCAUUGAGCACCGGGACUGGAUGGCCGGCAAGGAGUUCAAAUGCAAGGUCACCAACAAAGUCCUCCCAGGCCCUGUUGAGAGAACCAUCUCAAAACCCACAGGGCUAGUCAGAGCACCACAGGUAUAUGUCUUGCCGCCACCAGCAGAGCAGAUGGCCAAGAAAGAGGUCAGUAUUACCUGCAUGAUCACAGGCUUCCUCCCUGAGGACAUCGAUGUGGAGUGGACCAGAAACGGGCAUGUGGAGCAGAACUACAAGAACACCCCACCAGUCCUGGACUCUGACGGUUCUUACUUCUUAUACAGCAAGCUCAAUGUGCCAAAGAGCAAAUGGGACCAAGGAUAUGCUUACAUCUGCUCAGUGGUACACAUGGGCCUGCACAAUCACCACAUGAUGAAGAACAUCUCCCAGUCUCUAGGGCUGGAACUGGAGGAGACCUGUGUUGAUGCCCAGGAAGGGGAGCUGGAUGGGCUCUGGACAACCAUCACCAUCUUCAUCAGCCUCUUCCUGCUCAGUGUGUGCUACAGCGCCUCUGUCACACUCUUCAAGGUAAAGUGGAUCUCCUCCUCAGUGGUGGAGCUCAAGCAGAAAAUCUCCCCUGACUACAGAAACAUGAUUGGGCAGGGGGCCUAGGCCUCUUCCUUUGAGAUCAGCACAGCUUCCUAGGCCCUGCUGUACUGCAUCCAUCCUACUGUGUAGCCUAGCAUGGAGGCCACACUGCCAUCUGACAUCACCACCGUCCAGCCCUAUGACACUCUGAUCCAGAACUCUACAAUGUCUACUUUUUGGAGGACCAUGUGGACAGCUUUACCACAGACCCAAACAAAACUUCCUCAGCAGUUUCCACAUAACUAAGAGAUCACGGCCAGAAGACCCAUCUCCAUUCAAACACGCAACAGGGGAUCUAAGACCUCAGAAUGUUUGCCUAAGAAGAGCUGGGAAUCCAUGUUGCCUGAGUCCAGUUGUGUGGGAAUCAGACCUGGAGUGUCCUUACCCACACAUUUUCCUCAGAAAUGGAUAUUCUCAGAGAGGGCAAUGUUUUCAGAUCCUUGAGAGAAGACAUCUGCUAGGAAGACCAGGAUCACCUCAGCCCAGUGGGUCAUUCUGGUAGCCUUCGCACCAGCUGUACGUGGCCAGCUUCCUUCCUGGUACUUCUGUCAUUCCUGGGCUGAGGAAAGGCUCUGUGUUCCUCAAACUGUGUUGACAAGCCUCCUUAAGCUAAGGCUCCAUGUGCAGUCUUCUCUCCCUGCUACCCACUCUACAUGCUUGAUUUCAGAUGCAUGAUUCAAUCCACCAACACUGUUGACCACACAACCUCAAGACAAAGCCACUGCCACCUCCACAGACACUCUAUCCACACUCUGUGGAGGGAGAAGGAUUGCUUUGUGUAGCCUCAUCAAAGCUCUAGCAGGGAAAAGUGCAUAGAUCACAGUAUUGUGUGUGUGACUAGGAAGGAAAACCUCUAGGAGAGGGCUCUAGUGAGAAGAUUCCUGUUGGGCUCAAAAAAUGGGUCAGGGCAGGAACAAUGGGGGAGAGGUGUGAACAGAUCUUUAGUAGAAAGCCACAGUGCUGCAGCUCUGCCCUGCAGGCCUGGGGUCCAGACUGGACCACCUACAGCAGAAAACAUCAUUUGCAAUGGACAUCUAGGAGAACUGACCUGGAAUACCAGGGCUUCUGUUCCCAAUGGAGAAUAGCCCUGUAUCUAUUUCUCCAUUACCUCUCAUGGCCAGUAAGAAGCCAGAGUCUCCAGACAGAAAGAAAGAGUGUGCACCUGGUUUUCUAUGACUGAUAGGAAAUGCUUAGACAAAUUGGACUUUUAACAGCUUGUUCUAGAGACCAUGAAUAUCUUUAAAGCUCUCGCUCUCUCUCUC